rnacentral:rRNA from 1 species
GAUCAUGGCUCAGGAUAAACGCUGGCGGCGCACAUAAGACAUGCAAGUCGAACGGAAGUCGUUACGAAAUGGAAUGAAGAUUUAUCUGAUUGAAGUUUUGUAACAAUGGCUUUAGUGGCGGACUGGUGAGUAACACGUAAGCAAUCUACCUAUUAGAGGGGAAUAACAAUGGAGAAAUCUAGUUGACUAACUACCGCAUAAGCUUGUAGUACCGCAUGGUACAGCAAAGAAAAGG